GGCUCCAUCGUCUAGCGGUUAGGACGGCGCCCUCUCACGGCGUUAACACCGGUUCGAUUCCGGUUGGGGCUACCA
rnacentral:tRNA from 1 species